GAGGAGGAAGACAGUGAUGAAGAUGAGGAUGAUUGGGAAGAAGUGGAAGAGCUGACUGGGCCACUGGGUCCAGUUGAACCACCAGACCUCGUCCUGCCAUCUCAGCCCGUUGAGAUAGAGAUUGAGACUCCAGAAGUCAGGAAAAAG